rnacentral:rRNA from 1 species
GACGAAGGUGGCAAGCGUUACUCGGAAUUACUAGGCGUAAAGGGCAGGUAGGCGGCUCGACAAGUCUGUUGUGAAAGCUCCCGGCUUAACUGGGAGAGGCCAAUGGAUACUGUCGGGCUUGAGUGUGUGAGAGGGUGCUGGAAUUCCCGGUGUAGCGGUGAAAUGCGUAGAGAUCGGGAGGAACACCUAAGGCGAAAGCAGGCACCUGGCACAUUACUGACGCUGAGCUGCGAAAGCUAGGGGAGCAAACAGG